rnacentral:rRNA from 1 species
UACGAAGGACCCGAGCGUUAUCCGGAUUCAUUGGGUUUAAAGGGUGCGUAGGCGGAUUGAUAAGUCAGUGGUGAAAUCCUGCAGCUUAACUGCAGAACUGCCAUUGAUACUGUCGAUCUUGAGUACACUUGAAGUGGGCGGAAUGUGUCAUGUAGCGGUGAAAUGCUUAGAUAAUGACACAGAACACCGAUUGCGAAGGCAGCUCACUAAAUUGUAACUGACGCUGAGGCACGAAAGCGUGGGGAUCAAACAGG